GAUGAACGCUAGCUACAGGCUUAACACAUGCAAGUCGAGGGACCGGAGCACGGGUGAGUAACACGUAUCCAACCUGCCCUUUACUCGGGGAUAGCCUUUCGAAAGAAAGAUUAAUACCCGAUAUAAAGUAUGGGGAUGCGUUCCAUUAGGUUGUUGGUAAGGUAAAGGCUCACCAAGCCUUCGAUGGAUAGGGGUUCUGAGAGGAAGGUCACCGACAUUGGAACUGAGAUACGGUCCAAAAUCCUAGGGGACGCAGCCGUGAGGAAUAUUGGUCAAUGGACGCUAGCCCGAACCAGCCAAGUAGCGUGAAGGAGCAAGGAUUAGUGGUCGUAAACUGCUUGUAUAUGAGAAGCGGUACCGUAAGAAUAAGGAUCGGCUAACUCCGUGCCAGCAGCCGCGGUAAUAC
rnacentral:rRNA from 1 species